ACGGUAUCGAUGACUGAUGAUGAUGGAACAGGUCUGGAAGGGUUGGACCAUUUCAGAGAGGAAUGUUUACACCACUACCCCUUAGAACUGUGUUUAAAGGGGGAGGGGCAAAGGGGAGGAGUAAGGUAAGAGGGAG